CGCCGAAAAUGAACGGGGCUAAACGAUGUACCGAAGCUGUGGGAUAUGUCUAUUGAUGUAUCGGUAGGGGAGCGUUCUGUUGUAGUUUGAAGCAUCAGCGGAAGCAGGUGUGGACGAAGCAGAAGUGAGAAUGUCGGCUUGAGUAGCGCAAACAUUGGUGAGAAUCCAAUGCCCUGAAAUCCCAAGGUUUCCUCCGGAAGGCUCGUCCGCGGAGGGUUAGUCGGGACCUAAGGCGAGGCCGAAAGGCGUAGUCGAUGGACA
rnacentral:rRNA from 1 species